rnacentral:rRNA from 1 species
CAGCCGCCACGGUAAUACGUAGGGUGCGAGCGUUAAUCGGAAUUACUGGGCGUAAAGCGUGCGCAGGCGGUUAUGUAAGACAGUUGUGAAAUCCCCGGGCUCAACCUGGGAACUGCAUCUGUGACUGCAUAGCUAGAGUACGGUAGAGGGGGAUGGAAUUCCGCGUGUAGCAGUGAAAUGCGUAGAUAUGCGGAGGAACACCGAUGGCGAAGGCAAUCCCCUGGACCUGUACUGACGCUCAUGCACGAAAGCGUGGGGAGCAAACAGGAUUAGAUACCCCUGUAGUCCCUGUCUCUUAUAC